ensembl:lncRNA STARD4-AS1 STARD4 antisense RNA 1
GGACGCCGGGGCCCGCCAUCCCCAACGUCCACCGCGAGCUCCCCAGAUCCAUGGUCUGGAGCAGGUCCAGAAGACGCACCUGGCAGGACGCCCCGGGCGCCACAGUCGCCCUCCACACGGGCCACCCCAAUCCUGCCGCGGCUCCGUGGCUCUCCUUACCUUUACCUGAGGUGAAGCAAGGACGUGGAAGCAGCUACGGCGCGCUACCAAGCACCUCACACCGCUCUCAACAGUACUGCUCAGCCUCCCGGCCCGCCGAUGCGCAGGCGACAGCAGCCAACUUGAUGCUCUUCACUUCUUACAAAUUGGCAUGCCAGGCUGCUGCUCAGGUAAUCUGCCUCUUGGACCGGCUCUGAAAAUGGGACAAUGAUCAGUGCAAGAUCCCUGAGAUGCUGAGACACGAUGGGAUGGAAGAAAGCUAUGGGACAAGUGGCCUUUCAUAGGAGGAGGAGCUCCUUGUCAAAUGUGAGGAGCGAAGCAGGACAGGAGCAUGAGAACAGGAAGCCAGAAGUUAUGGGGACACUCAAGCAGCACUAGGGAGAGGCUCAUGAGUAGAAGAACUGAGGCAUCCUGCAAACAGCCAUGGACUAACCUGUAUUGGGAGCAGAUUCUCCAGCUCCACGUCUGUUCCUUAGUCUCUGUUGAGGUGAAACUCCAAUAUCUGAACCCACCAGCCAAAUAAGCAACCUGUGUACAAGCCAAGUUAAAAUUUCACUCCCGUAAUGGAUGAGGAGAAACCAGAAGACAUUUCUCAUGCACAGGGAGUGCAUGAAUCCCCUGAAUUGCCAGGUUUCAGGGUCACAUGAGACCUCUAGAAGGCUCUGCUCAUCAUCACCUUAUCAUCUGCUGAUAUACCUAUUCUAACGAAGGAGGGAGAGGAGUAAUGCACAAGAAACUCAGGCCAAUGGGGGAGCAAGAAGAAAACGAAGAAGUGCAGUGCAUGCGUCAUCGGUGUUUAACAGUCAGAAGCGAAACAGUUCAGAACAAGGCCUGCCCUGUCAAAAGAAGAGCUAAAGACAGUUAUAUAAAAAUUAAGAAUAACUCAAUCUCAGUGUGACUACUGAUCCGCCGCCACGUGGCUUCCCGGACACACUGCUGCAGCGCCAACAGUGGAGAGGAGCUCUCCAUCACAACCAGACAGCAGAAGCACAGCACAGUGAAGCACACCUGCCCACAUGAUGCACAAUACAGGUAUUCAUUUACAACAGAUAGAUUUUAUGCCCUGUACAGGUAUGAACACAGUGAAGAUUUGACGAUGGUCUCUCUUUCAGCUGAACUCUGGAGUUUUAAUUACUGACAUUUUCUUGGAAGAAAUUAUCCUUUGUGGUUUUAAAACAUGUGGGCUUUUUUUUUUGUUGCUCAAGUCACAUGUUCUAACAAGACAGUUUUAAUAAGCCAGUUUGACUAGAUGUAAAGUACUUGGAUUAAAGUGAUAAUCUUACUUUGUGGCCUAUAAAUUAACACAUCUGAAUUUCUUUUUAAGAAUUCAGAAACCAGUAACUUCCAAACAACUUGAAAUUGAAUAAAUAUUUUCAGCAACCCAGGGGUGAACUAAAUGCAACAGAUUAUUCAACUUUAAAAAGUCUUACUUACUGUACAGAUUUUCCAUAUUAAACAUCUGGUAUGCCUCAAUUUUUUACUUAAAAGUCUCGGACUUUGAGAGCAUACAGCAUUUUUUGCACAUAUAUAACCAUGAUGUACUUUAAUAUUCCAAUCUUAGGUUGUGAUUUUAGAGGUUGUUUUGGUAUCAUUAAAUACCAAUGGGACCAAACCAGAAAAUUAAAUAAAAAUAUAAUUCACCACUCACACACCCUUAAGGGUCUAGAUUCAAUUUCCAAAAGCAUAAUAUUGGGUAGUUACUUGCAGUUGUGAAAAUAAUUUCAAUCUUGGAAUCUUGGUACACAGUCCCAAAAUUUAAAAAAAAAAAAAAAAAAAGGAAAUCCACUGUAAUCCCAGUGUCUUUAAAAUAAUGCUGCCAGCCCGACCCCACCUCACCCCACAGUCAACCAGUUACCAUGGUUCAGGAUAGGACAAACUUAGGUUUUGGACAAAUGAAGAGUUCAAUGGCUGUUAAUUGUCACAGGCAAGAAAAGAAGGAAAACCAAAAGUUGAUAAAUGUUAACUCAACAAUUAUAGUCUUUACACAGCUUGCCUUAAAACUGCUCCAGUUCAGACUUACUCUGUUCAAAAGUGAAUAUACAGAACGUUAGUGUAUCUCUCUAUUUAAAUCUCAGUCUCAGUACUAAUCUUCUACCUCCAUGAAACAUACACAACAAAACAAAAGGAAGAGCUAGGGAUUUGGGAAGAGGCACUUCCAGAAAAAAAGAAAGUGACGAUUAUUUCAGAUUUGAAUUUACCAUUUUUACCAUUUUUUCUGUUUCAAGGUCCCAGAUAAUAUACAUUUCUUCAUUAAUUAUUCAUUUUCUGAGUGCCUACUAUGGCUGGAGUACUCUAUUCGAUUUCAAGCUUAGAGAGAGAUUGAAACAGAAACAGUAACAGUCCCUGCCCAUCUCACCCUUCAUUAACUUGCUGUGUGGAAGACAAGCAUACAGACUGGACCCUCAUGAGGCAAUGGUAGUAGGGCCCACAGGGAGGUGUGCUACUGAAGCACCCUGAGGGCCUGGAGCCCACCAUGCCCGUGGAGAGAGGUGCUCCUGAGGAGACAGAGUUCUGUGCGUUCUCCCUAUGGAGUCCUGCAUUUACUAGAUUUCAAUCCUCUUCCCCUGACUGAUUUCAAUCCACACACCCUCCCACUAUUUUUUUUUUUUUUAAAUAAUAAUAGGCUUUCUGCCCCAACUAAAGGAAUUUUAGGCUUCUGCAACAAGUGGAGGAGGCAUUUUGAAGAUGGGACACAAAGAAGUCUUCUUUCUCCAGAUCCAGAAGUCAGGCCUUGUAAGAAUUCAAGCCAAAAAAAGUUCAUCCAUGGGAAAAACGGUUCUUCUAUCAUCCAGCACGUAUUUGUGCCAACAGAGCUGAGGGACUUGAGUAAUUCAAGAGGCUAGGGGUUGGGGGGCAGAUGUGUCCAGUGGCUCCCACAGCCCCGCCGUCCUGAAAGUCACGCCAGUUAAUGUGCCUCGGGGUGGAUCAGCCCUCCCGACAGAUGACUACUAGGAAAUUAAUCCCCAGUUAAUAAUGUGCUUUGGACCAAGUAAGUCAAGAUUAUUUUUCCUACAAUUAUACAAAGAUAUGCUUUUCCAGAAGGGAACUUCUGGAAAAAGAACAAAUAACACUAUGCUUAAAAUAUUAUUCACAUAUUUAGAGAAGAAAGAACUUAAAAUAGCAGAAGACCUGAAUACCAUGAUCCACGGUGCCCACCCCUGGGAGCAUGUCUUUGUGUGAGACAAGACCUAGCACAGCAGGGCUGGCUUUCUAAGGGUACGGUGAGGCACCACUGAACUCAUCAAGGAACUAUGCCUAGUCUUGCCCCUCUGGUUUAUGUCACCAGUAUCAAAGAGAGAGGACCUCUGGAUGCCUGAAUGAGGCAAGAACUAAUGUGAAGGCCUCAGCUGCCUUAAGAGAAUUAUGCCCUGAUCUGGCACAGUGACGAAUGUCUGUGGUUAUACUGCUCGUGCCGCUGGUGUGCUGCUGGUGAGGUGGUGGGGUGUGGGUGUCUUUUAAGGAAAGCGCUACUAUUUUAGCUCUCUUCCACUCCAGCUCUACAAAUCAGUGCAAGUCUAGUUCAGGCAGGGUCAAACCAUUUUGUUCACCUACUUUCCUGCCAGUGAUUUCAACCUUGACCUUCAAAAAUGCUCUGCAAGAUUAAAAGUGAUUUAAGAUUGUUUUCUUUCAGUGCAAACUGCCAGUUGAUACAACCUCUUCAGUUUCUGCCUGCCAGUAUAAGAUAGGGAAUUGUUGAUACUAUUUAGUGUAAAUAAAAUAAUUUCUUAAACAUUGAAAUACCAGUAACAGCUGGGGGAGGACUCACCGUUAGUCAAUUACACUUAUGAAACUUUCAAAUAGAAAUUUUAUUUUCAGUGGAUUCUGUUUUUCUUUCUUAACUGCAAAAUCAGCAAGUCAUUGGUUAAAAAGUAUACUCUCCCCGCUUGAAGUCAAACAAGUAUUCACCCUAAGAGGCAAAGUCCAGUAUCUACAGUAAAAACUGACCUGACCUUUGGUAUUCCGCAAGGGCCUGAACUUCCAUUCCAUUCCCAGUGCUGGAUGUGGAGAAUGGGUGAUCCCAAGCAACAAUCAUUUGCCUUUCUGUCAAAAGCUGUCUCGGUUUAAAUGUACUGUAUUUUCUUUGCCUCUUCUUCUCAUCGGAACAUGUUCUAGUCUACUCGCCAGGUGCUACUUCUGGCAGUCAGAAAUAGUGCCACUUUUCAACUUCAAGUUUCUUACCAACCUUUUUUGCAUUCAUGCAGCAAGAGUUCAUGAAAUAGCUGCAAAGUGCUGGACACUGUUAGGUUGUGGGAAUUGCAAGAGAAACAGAGUUUCUGCCUUCUAGAUGCUCACGUCUGGGGGUGGGGCAGGUACAGCAGGGGUGAUCAAUCCACAAAAAUUUACUUUUAAAAAUGUGUUAUGGGCUGACUUGUAUCACCUCAAAAUUCAUAUGGGGAAGUCCUAACCACCAAUACCUCAGAAUGUGAUUGUAUUUGGAAACAGGAUCUUUGCAGAGGCAAUUAAGUUAAAAUAAGGACAUCAUCAGGGUGGGCCCUAAUCUCAAGUGACCCAUGUCCUUCUAAGAAGAGAUUAGGACACAGAUACACAGAGGAAAGACCAUAUGAAGACACAGGGAGAAGACAGCCAUCUACAAGCCCAGAAGGGAGGCCUCAGAAGAAACCAACCCUGCCAACAUCUUGAUCUCAGACUUCCAGCGUCCAGAUUGUUAGAAAAUAAAUUUCUGUUGUGUAAGCUGCCCAGUCUGUGGCACUUUGUUAUGGCAGCCCUCGCAAACUAAACACAGUGUGCUUUUUAAGGGCAACAACAAAAAAGAAAUAUAUAGGUUAAGUCAAAUGUAAUAGCUGCUGGAACAUCUAUCAACAGACUAAACAACAAACAAAACCAACAUUUAGCAUAAUAUCCAGUAGUGCUGUCAACAAAGGAAAUGGGGGUGGCAGUGAGCACAUCUGGGAGGGCAUUUGAUGGCUGUCAGAAUCAGCCAAGGAAGAUGAUAGAAGGGUGAGGGAUAAGUGCAGAAUAAGCUCCAUGCAGGCAAGUGGCCCUGUAGCCAGGUCUCCCUGCAGCUCCUAGGGGCCACAGCAGUAACAAGACCCACAUGAACCCAUGAGUUUCUGUGCCCUCAGUUUUCUAACUAGUUCAGAAUAUUAGGAACUGACAAUGACCCUAUCACUGAAGCUUUUGAGUGCUGAUAAUAUGAGGGUCAGAAAACUGGUAAGCUGAUCCAUCUAUCUAGAGUCCAUCUGUGCUUGCUGAACUGUAAAGCUGCCCAUUCUUCUUGGUGCUCAUCAACUGACACUCCAAACAUGGACACGUGGCUGAUACUGCAUUCCAUUCAUUCAUUGUCUGAAUUCAAGUUUGUGUUUUUCAUGAAGGCCAAUUAAAUUAACUUUCUUUUUGACACUUCA